UUAUAUAUUCGACUAUCUUGAAUAAACAUGUAAUAAUCUGUGUUUUAACAGAAUAUAUCUUAUACAUCUUAAAUGUUUAUUUGAAUUUAUCACAACUCAAAAAUCAUGAUCAAGUGGUAUUUAUUUGAUUUAUUGUAAUUAAUUUUUUAAAAAUUCAGAAAGAAAGCAAUGAAAAAUAUAAACGGUACCCACAUAUAUCCUUGACCUUAUUAAAAACAAAAGAAAAUAAAACAUGGGAAACGAAAAGAUUAUAUAGUGUUAUAAUCUAAGAACCGUACCUAAGGUGUGGAUGGUGAAGGUAUCGAGCGCUAAAGGGUUAAACGUGAACGUUUGAACAAGCGUGAAGUCCCAUUCGAGGUCAACUUUUCCAGGAAUGACUUGUUAAAGAAGGAAUUUAUCGGUAGGUUUUACGGUUCUCUUCGUGGUUGCUUUGCCUUUACUGCAAAGCAAAUACAUAUAGAGAAAUGGGACCAGAGCUGAUGAUAUGUCGGAAGGAAGGAUCCAGUUUGCGCGAAACGUGUCUGUGGUUAAUCAGAGCUUUCCAGGUCAAAUACGCAACGCUUGUUAAACAUUAAAUAAAUGAGGUUUUAUUUUCUGUUGUUUAAGUGCUUCUUUGAUAAGUAAACGAAGCAGAUACCACACAAAUUCGAAUUUAAAUGACUCCAUCUCCAUCAUGAUAAUAAUAUAUACGAUUAAUAAAUAAUAAAUCUAUAGUAUCAAUAACAUUGAACAUUAUUAUUUAUCACAUAUAUUAGUAAUAAUAAUAUUGUUAUUAUAUAUGUCGUUAGUUCUUGAAAACACGGUGUAAGGAAUUUUGUAUACACAAUGUAUCUACAUUUCGUAAUAAAAAAACAAUAUGGCCGCUA